rnacentral:rRNA from 1 species
CUACGGGUGGCUGCAGUUGCGAAUCAUUUACAAUGCACGAAAGUGUGAUAAUGCGAACCAAAGUGCGUUUCUUUUUGAAACGCUUUUGCUUACUGUAAAAAUGUAGGCGAAUAAGGACUGGGAAAGACCGGGUGCCAGCCGCCGCGGUAAUACCGGCAGUUCUAGUUGCAUCCAACAUUAUUGGGUCUAAAACAUCCGUAGCUUGUUAUCUAAGUCUCUUGUGAAAUCUCACGUCUCAAGCGUGAGGCUUGCGGGAGAUACUGGAUAGCUAGAGAUCGGUAGACGUAAAGAGUACGCUGGAGGUAGUGGUAAAAUACGUUAAUCUUCGGUGGACUAACAAUUAGCGAAGGCACUUUACGAGGACGAAUCUGACAGUGAGGGAUGAAGGCCAGGGGCGCAAAACGGAUUAGAUACCCUCGUAGUC